AUUGAACGCUAGCGGGAUGCUUUACACAUGCAAGUCGAACGGAGUGGCGGACGGGUGAGUAAUAUAUCGGAACGUGCCCAGUAGCGGGGGAUAACUACUCGAAAGAGUGGCUAAUACCGCAUACUAUAUGAGAGGCCGAUAUCGGAUUAGCUUGUUGGUGGGGUAACGGCUCACAAAGGCAACGAUCCGUAGCUGGUUUGAGAGGAUGACCAGCCACACUGGGACUUAGACACGGCCCAGACGCCUACGGGAGGCAGCAGUGGGGAAUAUUGGACAAUGGGGGAAAGCCGGAUCCAGCCAUGCCGCGUGUAUGAUGAAGGCCUUCGGGUUGUAAAGUACUUUUGGCAGAGAAGCGGUAUCUGCAGAAUAAGCACCGGCUAACUACGUGCCAGCAGCCGCGGUAAUAC
rnacentral:rRNA from 1 species